CCCAGCAUUACAGUUAAAAUUCUGUACCUGGGACUUACCAUAACUCCAGAACCCACUACAGAGGUUGAACAUUCUACACCCCUGAAGAAGACUAUAGUUCCUCCAAAGCACCCUGAGGUGACACUUCCACAUCCACACCAGGUUCAGACUUGGCAUUCAAACCUGACUCAAGUCACAUUUCAACCUUUGGAUCCGAAACUUACCUUAACUCCAGAAUCCUCUAUGGAGGUUGAACCUUCAACCAUGCAUAAAACCCCAAAUCAGCCUCCAGAGCUAGUUAAGGAGGUUGUAGUUUUCCCUCCUGGGUAUUAUAAUGAGAUGUCUGUUCCAACACAAGGCCAGGAUCAAGCUAAGCAUCCAACAUCAGCCAGUGUCACAGUUCAACCUUUGGAACUGAGGCUUACCAUUACUCCAGAAUUCACUACAAAGGUUGAACCUUCUAGAGCCAUGGUGACUACAGCUUCUCUGCCAAAGCUCCCUAAGGUGACACUUCCACCAUGAGACAAGGGUCAAUACUCAGCACUCAAACCAGACCCAAGUCACAGUUCAACUUUUGGACUUGGAAGUUACCAUAAGUAUAGAACCUACUACAGGGGUGAACAUUUUCCAAUCACAGAGGAGACCACAACUCAGCCUUCAGACCUGGGGCUUGCCAUAACUCUAGCCCUAUAUAGACAUUGAGCAUUCUACAGCCCUGGACAAGACUACAGCUCCACGUCCAGACCAGGUUCAGACUCAGCAUCAAAACCUGACUAAAGUCAGAGGUCCACCUUUGAACUAGAACCUACUCAGGAUUCAUUGAUUCAGUCUGAAAGUUACACCCAAAAUAAGGCUUUAACUGCACAAGAGGAACAGAAGGCCUCCACAAGCACCAACAUAUGUGAGUUCUGUACCUGCAGAGAUGAGACACUGUCGUGUAUUGAUCUCAGCCCAAAGCAGAGGCUCCACCAAGUGCCUAGCCAGAACCCAGCACCUACAAUGGCACCUUCACCAUCUUACAUUUGCAAGGAAACUAUAUUUCUUACAUUGAUGCAAAUGUGUGGAAACAUACAGUUGGACUGAGAAACUGCGAGUAUAUUCUCUCGAAAUAUGACAAAAAACUAUCUGCAUUGUAA